rnacentral:rRNA from 1 species
CGAAAGCCUGACGGAGCAAUACCGCGUGCGGGAGGAAGGCCCUUGGGUCGUAAACCGCUUUUCUUAGGGAAGAAGACCUGACGGUACCUGAGGAAUCAGCAUCGGCUAACUCCGUGCCAGCAGCCGCGGUAAUACGGAGGAUGCAAGCGUUAUCCGGAAUGAUUGGGCGUAAAGCGUCCGCAGGUGGCAAUGUAAGUCUGCUGUCAAAACCCAGGGCUCAACUCUGGUCAGGCAGUGGAAACUACAUAGCUAGAGUUCGGUAGGGGCAAAGGGAAUUCCCGGUGUAGCGGUGAAAUGCGUAGAGAUCGGGAAGAACAUCGGUGGCGAAAGCGCUUUGCUAGACCGAAACUGACACUCAGGGACGAAAGCUAGGGGAGCG